CGUAACACAAAAUGGUUUUGUACUUAUCUGCUAAAUAAGCUCUGUGGGUUCAAAUCCCACUGCG
rnacentral:tRNA from 1 species